AUCCAUUUAAAAUAAAGAUUAUGAAUUUUUGAUGAAGCUUGUCACGCUGAUCGAAUUUCAUUUUUUUUUUUGUAGAUCUUCCACAGUAAAAACGAUUUACCAAGAGGUGAUCCUUCAAGAUCAUUUUCCUACGUCUAUAUACUGGAAUCCCUUGCCUGUGAGAAAGUCCCAAGGCAGGAAGUGACUAUAAAUAUUUGCCUAGCUAGCCGUCUUUUACGAUUACAACGCGAUUCAGCUUGACUGGAGCUCGAUUGUACUCAUGUGACGUAAUGUUCCGUUUUGCACUGUACUUGGUGUUGGAACAAGUUGAAGAAGGACGAUUUAAAGUUGCGAAACGACAAAGAAGACUUUAUCAGUAGUACUUUUAUAUUUGAAAUUCCAUGAAUCUAUAAUCUUUUCAAGUAUUUUACAAGAUAUUAAUACAACGUUAAAAAUUUAAAAAGUAAAAAAAUUUCCGUAAUAAUAUCUACUUUGCUAUAUGAGAAAUUAUAACUCUAAAAUGAGGAAGUCUAGAGUUAAUAUUCGAUCUCAACAAAAUUGCAACUUUAGCCUAGAUGAUACUAUAAAUAAAUACUUUAUAUUAUACCUGUAUUGAGAUAUGCUUGGGAAAAUAAUCAACAUUAACUACUUAAACUAAUAAUUAUCCUAUCAAUCUUGUAUGGCAUGAAGAAAUUAGUCAUGCUUCUGAAACCAUUAAAAACGACGGGGGAAAAAGAAAUAAUUCACGAUAAACGCGGAGGAUCCAGUUGUUGACUGUACUACGAAGGCAAUAUACUAGAGGGAAGCUAAUAAGCAACCGCAUAGAAGUUGGCAAGGCCUAAUAUCAGCCUAAAUAUACACGACGUGAAAGUCCA